rnacentral:rRNA from 1 species
GAUGAACGCUGGCGGCGUGGAUAAGGCAUGCAAGUCGAACGGUAGCACAGAGAGCUUGCUCUCGGGUGACGAGUGGCGGACGGGUGAGUAACGUCUGGGAAACUGCCCGAUGGAGGGGGAUAACUACUGGAAACGGUAGCUAAUACCGCAUAACGUCGCAAGACCAAAGUGGGGGACCUUCGGGCCUCACACCAUCGGAUGUGCCCAGAGGGGAUUAGCUAGUAGGUGGGGUAAUGGCUCACCUGGGCGACGAACCCUAGCUGGCCUGAGAGGCUGACCAGCCAACCUGGAACUGAGACACGGUCCAGACGCCAAAGGGAGGCAGCAGGGGGGAAUAUUGCACAAUGGGCGCAAGCCUGAUGCAGCCAUGCCGCGUGUAUGAAGAAGGCCUUCGGGUUGUAAAGUACUUUCAGCGGGGAGGAAGGCGGUGAAGUUAAUAGCUUCACCGAUUGACGUUACCCGCAGAAGAAGCACCGGCUAACUCCGUGCCAGCCGCCGCUGUAA